GCCAGAAUAGUGUAGUGGUUUCAGUGUUGGACUAUGAAUCUAGAGACCAAGGUUCGAUUCCCAGCUCAGCCA